GCGGACGGGUGAGUAACGCGUGGGUGACCUACCUGUAAGACCGGGAUAACCCUGGGAAACCGGGGCUAAUACCGGAUACGCUAUCAGGUUUAGAGACCUGAUAGGAAAGGUGGCUUAAGCUGGAGCUGCUACCGCUUACAGAUGGGCCCGCGUCCUAUUAGCUAGUUGGUAGGGUAAUGGCCUACCAAGGCGACGAUGGGUAGCCGGCCUGAGAGGGUGGACGGCCACACUGGGACUGAGACA
rnacentral:rRNA from 1 species